GUUGAUUUUCAAGGAAAAAAUGAUUUUCCAGGUAAAAGUUGAUUUUCAAGGAAAAAAUUAUUUUCAAGGUAAAAGUUGAUUUUCAUGACAAAAAAAUAUUUUCAAAGUAAAAGAUGAUUUUCAAGACAAAAUUAUUUUCAAGGUGAAAGUUGAAUUUCAAGACAAAAUUAUUUUCAAGGUGAAAGUUGAAUUUCAAGACAAAAAAUGAUUUUCAAGACAAAAAAUUAUUUUCAAGGUAAAAGUUGAUUUUCAUGAUAAAUUAUUUUCCAGGUAAAAGUUGAUUUUCAAGACAAAAAAUGAUUUUCAAAGUAAAAGUUGAUUUUCAAGACAAAAAAUGAUUUUCCAGGUAAAAGUUGAUUUUCAAGGAAAAAAUUAUUUUCAAGGUAAAAGUUGAUUUUCAAGGAAAAAAUUAUUUUCAAGGUAAAAGUUGAUUUUCAUGACAAAUUAUUUUCCAGGUAAAAGUUGAUUUUGAAGACAAAAAAUUAUUUUCAAGGUAAAA